ensembl:lncRNA
CUAACAUGGUUGCUACAAGCUUAUACCCACCUAUUUACUUGUUCUACAUUGACUUUAACCAAUCAGCAUUCCUUGGUCCUAGGGAUCAUGUUGGUACUUACAGCAAGAAUGACCCUACAGGGUCACUUACUGGCAGAAAGAACCCCUUUCCCCAAGUUCUGGACUAUUGCAGGAGCAACUGGAGAGUUAGGUAAGAAACUUUUUCUCUUUUCUUUAGAUUCAGAUUACGUGGGCGGCCUUUCAUCCAAUGUAUGGUGAAGGGAGAUCAAGUUGAAUGGAGUCAACUUCCAACUUGUGAAGGCAUUUGUGAUUCUCCUCCAAGGUUGAGUUUUGCUGAGCUGCCUGGGGUAGUGAACAAUUCCUAUCCUGCUGGGACCCAACUGAAAUACUCCUGUUGCCCAGGAUAUGUUUUGCGCUCUGGAAAGUCUCCUGUAGUUACAUGUCUUGCAAAUUCAACAUGGUCAGUAGACCCUGAGUUUUGUGUAGGUGAGUGUCUUUGUUGCUUUUCCAUUUCAAUUGAUAUGCCAGCUAUCUUAACACAGUUAGGAAUCGCUCUUCUAUUGGGUAAGUGGUUCACAGUUCAACACUGGUAUCCAUAGACACUUUCUAAAUACAUUUUGGACAGUUCUUUGUUAUAUUAGUAGUUGACUUUAAAAAUUGUAGGUUGCUUUAAGAGCAGCUAAAAUACAAAAUUCCAGUGACUGCAGCCUGCAACCGUAUGUUAUUAGCUUGGGACUUGUCUACAUUUCUUCUCCUCUUGGAUACACUUGCAACGUUGUCUGUGACCAAGCUGCAUACUAGACAUUUGUAUUUUUUCCCCACAGUUUUGUUAUAGCUUUUAUUGCUACUUCUUGUACGUGUUCUGCUGUGUGUUCAUUUCCUGAUGCAUCAGUUGUUUCUGUAAGGAAGACAUUCCCUUCUUCUAUUGUCACACAAGUGCAUACAACAGGAUCAUUGUGGACAUUGCUCACCCAUCAAGACUCCGGUUAACAAUUUUAACCUCUAGACCUUUUGCACGCUGCUCAAUUUCUCUUUUAUACACUUUGUCCAGCAAUUUGCCUGUGACAUCUGCUCUGUUGUGUGGACUUUAUCCUGGUCUUAAUGACUGAACCAUGUUAAUGAAGUGUGGGUUCUCAAUCACACUGAAAGGAGAAUGUGUUGCAUAAACAAGGAGGGCUUUAAACUAGGUUCGACGGGGACAGGUGAGCAAAGCCCACAGGUAAGUGGGGAACAUGGAGACCGGGGAGAUGGGUCGGAAACGAGAGGGAGUGUGGGCUAUAUUGGCAGAGAGAAAGGAGAGUCAGGACAAAACUGGGAGGAAAGAUCAAACCAGUAUCUUAGAUGCCUAUAUACAAAUGCGAGAAGUAUGGGGAAUAAGCAGGAAGAACUGUUAGUGCUAAUAAAUUAACCCACCUCCGACA